GAUGAACGCUAGCUACAGGCUUAACACAUGCAAGUCGAGCGAGCUGAUCCCUUCGGGGUGAAGCUAGCGGCGGACGGGUGAGUAACACGUGGGCAACCUGCCUCAUAGAGGGGAAUAGCCUCCCGAAAGGGAGAUUAAUACCGCAUAAGAUUGUAGCUUCGCAUGAAGUAGCAAUUAAAGGAGCAAUCCGCUAUGAGAUGGGCCCGCGGCGCAUUAGCUAGUUGGUGAGGUAACGGCUCACCAAGGCGACGAUGCGUAGCCGACCUGAGAGGGUGAUCGGCCACAUUGGGACUGAGACACGGGCCCAGACUCCUACGGGAGGCAGCAGUGGGGAAUAUUGCACAAUGGGGGAAACCCUGAUGCAGCAAUGCCGCGUGAGUGAUGACGGCCUUCGGG
rnacentral:rRNA from 1 species